UGCACGUCUGUAAUAUUGCACAAAGAUUGCACUUGUGUCACCUUGCAUCGUGGCACAGCCUUGCACCUCGUACUGUAUGUGGAAGAAAACGUUCCUCGAUAGAGACGUCUGUCAAACACAAAUAAACAACAGAAUACAAUCAGAAGCACAGGAUGAGAGCGGGGGUCCUGUGGAUGCUGAUGGUGUGUCUGAGUGAUGGAAAAGACCCCACAUGCUCAGUUCUGACGAGCCUCACAGUGUCAAAACUCACUAAAGUGAACGUCUCCUGUCCAUCGACAACGGGAACAGACACAAACUACCAGCUCUUCUUCAAUGACAGCUCCUUCGGACGAAUAAAUAUGAGAAAGGUGUCUGGUCCUGCAGAAAUGCUGUUCUCGGGUCAGUUUGAAGUGACGGCCAACAGCAGUGGAGAGUUUCUCUGCAGGAGUGAGGAGAGUUGGCCCCCCCCCCAACUCAGAUGACUGUCACGCCACUGAAGUCAUCGUGGCAGAAUUGCAGUCUUUGCAUGAAAUCAAUGGCUCUGUUCCAGCAGCCUAUCAGAGCUGUCCGUUCAGUUCUCCAUUGAUCCCAGAGGAGGUGAUUUGGGCGGGAUGUGGAGUUUUAUUGGUCUACAGCCUGUCAAUCACCUGCAUUGCCAUUGUCUUAUGGAACAACACGAGGAGAAAUGAGGAGGAUUCAAACGAUUACAUGAACACCAAACCUGGAGAGUUCAGGAAACCUGGCUAAGUUCAACAACAGCGUGCGGCAGUCAUAAGGACAAAUCAUGGCUAUUAAAGCUAGUAUUGUAGUGGUAUAUAUUCCAAAAUAAAAUCCAUAUUUAUUUCACAGU